CCCAUGAAUAAAUUGAUAUCACUAAUAUAUCUAUCAUAUAGACACCACCCUCGAACAAAUUGCUAACAUCGAAAGUCGAGAGUACACAAUAAGGUCGAGGUAAAGGUAGAUUUCAUGCUUGGUAGAGGGUGGGUGGGUAUCUAAUAAGUCUUGGUUCUACCCACCCCCAACAUUCAUUCCGUUGAGUUGUUGCACAAGUAUGGCUUCCAAAGGUAAGAAGCUUCACAUUGGGAUGGCGUGUCCGAGGAAUGUGGUCGUGAAGAAACAAAAAUAUCAUGAGCAGGAAUUAGCUCGACAGCGGACGGGGAGUAAGGGUGGCUCAUGCACGCUCGUUAGUUCGACCAAGGGUUUCCGUUCUUUUUCUGUUGAUGUUCUCAAGUCUCUGCCCCAAGGGGUUUGUACUGGGUCUUCUCCUCCACAAAACAGGGCACGAGAUAUCCAUUUUGCUUCUGCUUCUGCUUCUACUCCAUAGGGUGAUACUUUUUACCAUCAACAUGAACUAGGCAGAAGGCAGACUGUAUUGGGAUACCGCAGACAUUUUCUUAACUUGGAAUGCACAAAAAAUGUGGUGAGUGAGGACGGUUUGAGGCGAUUUUCCACUCUAACCGACGAGGAAGUGAAUGAGUUGUUAGUCGAAGAAUUGGCUUGGACAUGCUAGUUAUGAUUUUGCCUUACUUGUCGCAUAUUAUUCUUCUUUUAUUGACUUGACUGUCUUACUCUCA